rnacentral:rRNA from 1 species
AGGGAGUUUGAUCCUGGCUCAGGAUGAACGCUGGCGGCGUGCUUAACACAUGCAAGUCGAACGAAGCAACUUAUUACGAUCCCUUCGGGGUGACGAUUUGUUGACUGAGUGGCGGACGGGUGAGUAACGCGUGGGUAACCUGCCUUGUACAGGGGGACAACAGUUGGAAACGACUGCUAAUACCGCAUAAGCGCACAGUACCGCAUGGUACAGUGUGAAAAGUUUUUUCGGUACAAGAUGGACCCGCGUCUGAUUAGCUAGUUGGUGAGGUAACGGCUCACCAAGGCGACGAUCAGUAGCCGACCUGAGAGGGUGACCGGCCACAUUGGGACUGAGACACGGCCCAAACUCCUACGGGAGGCAGCAGUGGGGAAUAUUGCACAAUGGGCGAAAGCCUGAUGCAGCGACGCCGCGUGAGCGAAGAAGUAUUUCGGUAUGUAAAGCUCUAUCAGCAGGGAAGAUAAUGACGGUACCUGACUAAGAAGCUCCGGCUAAAUACGUGCCAGCAGCCGCGGUAAUACGUAUGGAGCAAGCGUUAUCCGGAUUUACUGGGUGUAAAGGGAGCGUAGACGGUUUGCCAAGUCUGAUGUGAAAGGUGAGGGCUCAACCCUUAAACUGCAUUGGAAACUGGUAGACUAGAGUGUCGGAGAGGUAAGUGGAAUUCCUAGUGUAGCGGUGAAAUGCGUAGAUAUUAGGAGGAACACCAGCGGCGAAGGCGGCUUACUGGACGAUAACUGACGUUGAGGCUCGAAAGCGUGGGGAGCAAACAGGAUUAGAUACCCUGGUAGUCCCCU